GACUCUGUAGCUCAGUUGGUUAGAGCACUGCGCCGGAAUCGCAGGGCGGCAGGUUCGAUUAUUGCUAGAGCA